UGGGGGAUAUUGCACAAUGGGGGAAACCCUGAUGCAGCGACGCCGCGUGGAGGAAGAAGGUUUUCGGAUUGUAAACUCCUGUCGUUAGGGACGAUAAUGACGGUACCUAACAAGAAAGCACCGGCUAACUACGUGCCAGCAGCCGCGGUAAAACGUAGGUCACAAGCGUUGUCCGGAAUUACUGGGUGUAAAGGGAGCGCAGGCGGGAAGACAAGUUGGAAGUGAAAUCCAUGGGCUCAACCCAUGAACUGCUUUCAAAACUGUUUUUCUUGAGUAGUGCAGAGGUAGGCGGAAUUCCCGGUGUAGCGGUGGAAUGCGUAGAUAUCGGGAGGAACACCAGUGGCGAAGGCGGCCUACUGGGCACCAACUGACGCUGAGGCUCGAAAGUGUGGGUAGCAAACAGGAUUAGAUACCCUGGUAGUCCACACCGUAAACGAUGAUUACUAGGUGUUGGAGGAUUGACCCCUUCAGUGCCGCAGUUAACACAAUAAGUAAUCCACCUGGGGAGUACGACCGCAAGGUUGAAACUCAAAGGAAUUGACGGGGGCCCGCACAAGCAGUGGAGUAUGUGGUUUAAUUCGACGCAACGCGAAGAACCUUACCAAGUCUUGACAUCCUGCGACGGUGCUAGAAAUAGUAUUUUCCUUCGGGACGCAGAGACAGGUGGUGCAUGGUUGUCGUCAGCUCGUGUCGUGAGAUGUUGGGUUAAGUCCCGCAACGAGCGCAACCCUUAUGGUCAGUUACUACGCAAGAGGACUCUGGCCAGACUGCCGUUGACAAAACGGAGGAAGGUGGGGAUGACGUCAAAUCAUCAUGCCCUUUAUGACUUGGGCUACACACGUACUACAAUGGCGUUAAACAAAGAGAAGCAAGACCGCGAGGUGGAGCAAAACUCAGAAACAACGUCCCAGUUCGGACUGCAGGCUGCAACUCGCCUGCACGAAGUCGGAAUUGCUAGUAAUCGUGGAUCAGCAUGCCACGGUGAAUACGUUCCC
rnacentral:rRNA from 1 species